rnacentral:rRNA from 1 species
UACCGGCAGCACAAGUGGUGUCCACGAUUAUUGGGCUUAAAGAGCCCGUAGCUGGCCGAUGCCGUCUCACGUGAAAUAUUGGUGCUCAACAUCAAUGCGUGCGUGGGAUACCCAUCGGCUUGGGAACGGGUGGGGUCAGGGGUACUUAUGGGGGAGGGGUUAAAUCCUGUAAUCCUAUAAGGACCAACGGUGGCGAAGGCGCCUGACUAGAACGUAUCCGACAGUGAGGGGCGAAGGCUAGGAGAACGAAUCGG